GGCUCGGUCGAGAGGCCGGCCCGUGGGCGCUGCGGGGAUAUCCUCGCCGUCGGCCGGAGUGUCCCAUUGUCGUUGGUUUYGGCUGUCUGAUGUUGACGUCCCGCCCUGGUGGGGGAGUUGGCCUCUGGCGGUCGGGGUCGGGCACUCCCCUCCCCCACUGGUCCCAGUCUUUGGGGCCUCUGGGGCCGCUUUUUUUUUUUUCCAUAAGCACCCUGAGGAACAUGAAUGGAGAGACUGAGCCUGGGGUCCCUCGCAGCCUUUGUGCAGGUGAUGGGGCCCGAGUCGAAAAGCAAAGUAACGACUCUCAGCAACGGAUAUCUUGGCUCUUGCAACGAUGAAGAACGCAGCGAAAUGCGAUACCUAGUGUGAAUUGCAGAAUUCCGCGAAUCAUUGAGUCUUUGAACGCAAGUUGCGCCCGAGGCUUGUCCCGAGGGCAUGCCUGCCUGAGCGUCACCGCACUCCCACCUGGACACUCUCCAGUGUGGAAUUGGCCGUCCGGGACCCUGCCCCUCCGAGGGGCUCUGGGUUGUGGUGGGCUGAAAUGCAGCUAUCUGGGCGUGGCCGAAGGAAGGGGCUGCGAGAAGGUGAUUCGCUCUGUUGCGGGGCGGAGUCUAAUUGGAUAGCACCUCUCCCCUUUGGUGGUCCCAGAUGGUGUGUGGCACUUGGUGUGUGUCACUGCUGGGGGAGUGCAAGUAAUGUUGCAUCUCCCCCCGUCCCUCACAGCUUGGACCUCAGAUCAGGCAAGACUACCCGCUGAGUUUAAGCAUAUCACUAG
rnacentral:rRNA from 1 species